AUUGAACGCUGGCGGCAGGCCUAACACAUGCAAGUCGAGCGGAUGAAGGGAGCUUGCUCCUGGAUUCAGCGGCGGACGGGUGAGUAAUGCCUAGGAAUCUGCCUGGUAGUGGGGGAUAACGUCCGGAAACGGGCGCUAAUACCGCAUACGUCCUGAGGGAGAAAGUGGGGGAUCUUCGGACCUCACGCUAUCAGAUGAGCCUAGGUCGGAUUAGCUAGUUGGUGGGGUAAAGGCCUACCAAGGCGACGAUCCGUAACUGGUCUGAGAGGAUGAUCAGUCACACUGGAACUGAGAAACGGUCCAGACUCCGACGGGAGGCAGCGGUGGGGAAUAUUGGACAAUGGGCGAAAGCCUGAUCCAGCCAUGCCGCGUGUGUGAAGAAGGUCUUCGGAUGGAAAAGCACUUUAAGUUGGGAGGAAGGGCAGUAAGUUAAUACCUUGCUGUUUUGACGUUACCAACAGAAUAAGCACCGGCUAACUUCGU
rnacentral:rRNA from 1 species